AGCUCCGCCACUGCGCGCGCUCCAGCGCCCCAGAAGGCAGGGGGCAGCCCGGGGACCGGGGUCCCGGAGCCCCGUGGGAGGCGGGCAACACCUGUCGGGACCCGAGGGCGUGUCUGAGAUUGUGGCCUGAGGUGCUGCGCCUUCCGAUCCGGGGCAGCGGGCGUCCUGUAGCUGCGCCUUCCGAAUCCAGCCCAGAUUCUCCUACCAGCUGCUUGGGUCACGUCGGUGGAACUCCUAAAGGGAUGCCUUCAAAAUGUGUGAAUAAGCUUCAAUCAGACUGCCCUUCCCAAAGAAAAUAACUAUAAAUGCUGGAAAAACUACAAAACAGCCACCUGAAGGCACUGGCGAGAGACAAAAGCAAGCAAAUUCUGGAGAAGAGUCAACACUUGGAAGAAGGGAGCUGCACUGGGUACAUGGGGAAGGAACAGUGUCUCUGCAUGAGAAUGGCCAAAGAACAAGAUACAUUUCCCCGUGGAGAGCAAUCCUAGAGAGAGGGAAGCAUGGGUCAGAAUAAGGUGUACUGGCCCCAGGGUAAUAGCAUGUAUUUCUGUUGCAUUGGUGUUUCCAAAAUAAUGCUUCGGUUCCAAGUUUCAGGAAUUGGUUGGGGGAGCAUGGGGAUCAUACAGUGAUUCAGGAGCUUCCUUGCAAGUAAGUGAGUGAGCCAAUCAAAUAAUUUAUGUUUAAAUCUUUCACUGUGUUAAAUGUUGAAAAAUAAAGCAAGUGAAUUCCAAAAAAAAAAAAAAA
rnacentral:lncRNA from 1 species